rnacentral:rRNA from 1 species
CACGGGGGGAGCAAGCGUUGUUCGGAUUCAUUGGGCGUAAAGGGCUCGUAGGUGGCUUUGUAAGUCGGAGGUGAAAUCCCACGGCUCAACCGUGGACACGCAUUCGAAACUGUGAAGCUUGAGGCUGGGAGAGGAGAUCGGAAUUCCUGGUGUAGCGGUGAAAUGCGUAGAUAUCAGGAGGAACACCGGUGGCGAAGGCGGAUCUCUGGACAGGUUCUGACACUGAUGAGCGAAAGCCAGGGGAGCAAACAGG